rnacentral:rRNA from 1 species
UGGCGGCAGGCCUAACACAUGCAAGUCGAGCGGUAGAGAGAAGCUUGCUUCUCUUGAGAGCGGCGGACGGGUGAGUAAUGCCUAGGAAUCUGCCUGGUAGUGGGGGAUAACGUUCGGAAACGGACGCUAAUACCGCAUACGUCCUACGGGAGAAAGCAGGGGACCUUCGGGCCUUGCGCUAUCAGAUGAGCCUAGGUCGGAUUAGCUAGUUGGUGAGGUAAUGGCUCACCAAGGCGACGAUCCGUAACUGGUCUGAGAGGAUGAUCAGUCACACUGGAACUGAGACACGGUCCAGACUCCUACGGGAGGCAGCAGUGGGGAAUAUUGGACAAUGGGCGAAAGCCUGAUCCAGCCAUGCCGCGUGUGUGAAGAAGGUCUUCGGAUUGUAAAGCACUUUAAGUUGGGAGGAAGGGUUGUAGAUUAAUACUCUGCAAUUUUGACGUUACCGACAGAAUAAGCACCGGCUAACUCUGUGCCAGCAGCCGCGGUAAUACAGAGGGUGCAAGCGUUAAUCGGAAUUACUGGGCGUAAAGCGCGCGUAGGUGGUUUGUUAAGUUGGAUGUGAAAUCCCCGGGCUCAACCUGGGAACUGCAUUCAAAACUGACUGACUAGAGUAUGGUAGAGGGUGGUGGAAUUUCCUGUGUAGCGGUGAAAUGCGUAGAUAUAGGAAGGAACACCUGUGGCGAAGGCGACCACCUGGACUAAUACUGACACUGAGGUGCGAAAGCGUGGGGAGCAAACAGGAUUAGAUACCCUGGUAGUCC